AAUGCUGUUCUCUUGGCUGGAGGAGAAAUUCAAACGCUUCUGCUUUAGUUCAGCGUCCUCGGCUCGGGAGCCUGAACCUACAGAGUAUUAAUCUGCGAUUUCAUUGGGUGGAUGUGGCUCCGCCCACCACACGGUCCCGCCCCUGUCUUCCAUAUAAGGCACAGGACAAAAUAAACCCCCACAUACAAAAGGAGCUAGCCACACCUCUGUCACUUGGUAACAAAUUGUAAAUGACCAAAUACGGUUAGACAACAGAAAUCCACUAAGUGUACAAAAUGUUAAUCCUACAUUUGUCUUUUUUUGAUGUUUAAUUUUCGAUUCUUUUUUAUUUCCUCUGACUGCAAAUGAGUGCUGUGGGUGGGGGUGAAAGAGGGGUAAAGGGUGAGCU